CACCCCACGAGGGCGUCAGGGUGUUGCACAUUCUCUCUCUGUCUCUCUGUGCGUGUGUGUUGGAGGGGGGAGGGAGCCACGCAGCCCCUCCCCCUAACCCUAUCCCUCUGCCGAAUGCCGAGCCACGUCUGA
rnacentral:snoRNA from 1 species